GCGGUCUGUCCUCGUGCAGCUCAGUUGGGGGAGGGCUCUUUGCUGCUCCCGGUACUGGCAUCUGUCAUUAGUGCUAUUGCAGGACAGUCUUGUGCUGUGGAGACCCGGGGCAUAACAGUGGCACUGGGGCGGGACUCUGGCUCACUUCGGAUGGGGUGCAGUGCUUCGAAUCCCUGCCCUGCCCUGCCCAUCUGAGUCUUGCGUUGCCUCCUAGGUUGGCUGCCUUGCGGAACUAGCUGCCCACCAUACUGUGACAUCUCAGAGGCGUCUGUCCCCACCCUGCCACUCUCACCUUCUGCUCCUCUCACCACCAGGCCUGGCAGCCUUGGGCUGAUCCUGCUUGUCCUGGGUUGAAUAGUGGGGCUGUGUCCUGGAGUUGAUUUGGCACAGGUGACCUGGGCUGCCACCCGCCCACUCCUCAGCUUGGAAACCUCCAGGGCUCUGUGAGGACGGCCUGCUAUGUAAGGGGCAGCUGGGCAGACGGAGAGGGCUUUGGGCACGGGCUGCUGCUUUGGGGUUUUUUUUUCCUGUUUCCUAAAGUUCACUUCAUGUUCUUGAAGCUCCCAGGGUUUUUGGGUUUUUUUGCCAAAGUAGAAAGCAGGUGGCCUGCGGGGUAUGGGGUCCACCCACGUGGCACAAACAUGUGGGCUCUUCCCAAACACACCAUGUUUGGUUCUUGCUGUCUGGACCUGCAAACUGGGGUGGUGGGGCCUGGGUGUUGGGGUCCAGUUGCUAUCUGGCUGUGGCCCUUUCAGACCCCAUGCGGUGUUGUGUGGGGUGCUGGCUGGGUGGGGUGUGGGGAUCAUCAGAGGGCGGCGUGAUCACCCUCAUCCUAAAGUGCUGUUGGAAGUAAAUAAGUCCAUCCUUGAAAACUCUCUCAAGUUUUGCUUUGGUGGCCUUGGCUGGGCAGGGGAGCCACAGGUGAGACCCAGGUACCUCCUCCCUUAUCCCCAGGCGAGGAGUUGGAGGCUCAGUGCAGGCAGCAAGGGUGCAUUGCAGUCGUGUGAUCGAUCACUUUUUCAACUAGCAUCGGCCUUGCUCACAUUGUGUUCAGCCAACAUGGCCUGUCCAGUUUAGCACCUGGUACCCGGUCUCAGCACAGCAUCACUGCCCACCCUUCAGGGCUCUGGCCCCUCUUGUCCCUGCCCAGCCCGGUGCGGCCCUCAUUGUGCUCAGUGGGAAUGGUGUGGAAAGCCCGAGGGCACAUCCAAGGCGUGGGCCCUCAGCAGGGAGUACAGCUGCCAGACACGCACCACUGUGUGCCCUCUGCACAACCAAGAGCCACGCAUUCAUGCCACAGUGUGAUGCAUAGCAUCGAAGCCCUUCUGUGCAAAAACCCUUCCCAGUUAGCAAAACUAGGUGUCCUGCCUCAGCCCGCAGGACCCUGUAUGUAAGUUUUCCCCUGCCAGCCCCAGGCACCACCAGCU
rnacentral:lncRNA from 1 species